GUACCGGCAAAAUCCGGUACCGGGCGUAGGAACCCGUCGUAUCUCACAGCAUAUAUCAUUGCCAACACUAUGUUGGUUUCUU
rnacentral:sRNA from 1 species